rnacentral:rRNA from 1 species
ACGGGUGAGUAACACGUAGGUAACCUGCCUAUGAGACUGGGAUAACUAUCGGAAACGAUAGCUAAGACCGGAUAACAGGUUUUCUCGCAUGAGAGAAUCAUGAAACACGGAGCAAUCUGUGGCUUAUAGAUGGGCCUGCGGCGCAUUAGCUAGUUGGUAGGGUAAUGGCCUACCAAGGCGACGAUGCGUAGCCGACCUGAGAGGGUGAACGGCCACACUGGGACUGAGACACGGCCCAGACUCCUACGGGAGGCAGCAGUAGGGAAUCUUCCGCAAUGGACGCAAGUCUGACGGAGCAACGCCGCGUGAGUGAUGAAGGUUUUCGGAUCGUAAAGCUCUGUUGCCCUAGACGAACAGCAAGGAGAGUAACUGCUCUUUGUGUGACGGUAUAGGAGAAGAAAGCCCCGGCUAACUACGUGCCAGCAGCCGCGGUAAUACGUAGGGGGCAAGCGUUGUCCGGAAUUAUUGGGCGUAAAGCGCGCGCAGGCGGUCAAUUAAGUUGGGUGUUUAAGCCCGGGGCUCAACCCCGGUUCGCAUCCAAAACUGGUUGACUUGAGUGUAGGAGAGGAAAGUGGAAUUCCACGUGUA